UACAGAGGUCCCAAGCGUUGUUCGGAUUUACUGGGCGUAAAGGGUGCGUAGGCGGCGAGGAAAGUUUGAGGUGAAAUCUCCAGGCUUAACUUGGAAAAUGCCUUGAAGACUUCCCCGCUAGAGGAUCGCAGAGGAGACUGGAAUUCUCGGUGUAGCAGUGAAAUGCGUAGAUAUCGAGAGGAACACCAGUGGCGAAAGCGGGUCUCUGGGCGAUACCUGACGCUGAGGCACGAAAGCCAGGGGAGCAAACGGG
rnacentral:rRNA from 1 species